rnacentral:rRNA from 1 species
CCUACGGGUGGCAGCAGUGGGGAAUAUUGGGCAAUGGGCGCAAGCCUGACCCAGCAACGCCGCGUGAAGGAAGAAGGCUUUCGGGUUGUAAACUUCUUUUGUCAGGGACGAAGCAAGUCACGGUACCUGACGAAUAAGCCACGGGUAACUACGUGCCAGCAGCCGCGGUAAUAAGUAGGUGGCAAGCCUUAUCCGGAUUUAUUGGGGGUAAAGGGCGUGUAUGCGGGAAUGCAAGUCAGAGGGGAAAACUAUGGGCUCAACCCAUAGCCUGCAUUUGAAACUGUAUUUCUUGAGUGCUGGAGAGGCAAUCGGAAUUCCGUGUGUAGCGGUGAAAUGCGUAGAUAUACGGAGGAACACCAGUGGCGAAGGCGGAUUGCUGGACAGUAACUGACGCUGAGGCGCGAAAGCGUGGGGAGCAAACAGGAUUAGAUACCCCGGUAGUC